GUACGAGAGGCCCGGGAUGGACAUACCGCUGGUGUACCAGUUGUGCCGCCAGGCGCAUCGCUGGGUAGCUAUGUAUGGAUGAGAUAAACGCUGAAAGCAUCUAAGUGUGAAACUCGCCUCAAGAUGAGAUUUCCCAUUCCUAUAUGGAAGUAAGACCCCUGAGAGAUGAUCAGGUAGAUAGGCUGGAAGUAGCAGCGCCGUGAGGCGUGGAGCGGACCAGUACUAAUCGGUCGAGGACUUAACCAAG
rnacentral:rRNA from 1 species